UGGGGAAUAUUGCACAAUGGGCGCAAGCCUGAUGCAGCCAUGCCGCGUGUGUGAAGAAGGCCUUCGGGUUGUAAAGCACUUUCAGCGAGGAGGAAGGGUGGUGUGUUAAUAGCACAUCACAUUGACGUUACUCGCAGAAGAAGCACCGGCUAACUCCGUGCCAGCAGCCGCGGUAAUACGGAGGGUGCAAGCGUUAAUCGGAAUUACUGGGCGUAAAGCGCACGAAGGCGGUUUGUUAAGUCAGAUGUGAAAUCCCCGCGCUUAACGUGGGAACUGCAUUUGAAACUGGCAAGCUAGAGUCUUGUAGAGGGGGGUAGAAUUCCAGGUGUAGCGGUGAAAUGCGUAGAGAUCUGGAGGAAUACCGGUGGCGAAGGCGGCCCCCUGGACAAAGACUGACGCUCAGGUGCGAAAGCGUGGGGAGCAAACA
rnacentral:rRNA from 1 species